rnacentral:snRNA from 1 species
UUACACGACCUGAUGGGGUCAAUGGGCAUUAAGGCCCAUGGCCUAGGUUUGCGACCUCCAAUGCCCUUUGGAGGGGUGCCCAUCUAACAUUGGCCCAUAUAGUUGAGCCUACAUCAUAAUUUCUGAUGC